GGGAUAACCUCGGGAAACCGAGGCUAAUACCGCAUAAUAUCGAAAGAUCAAAGGAGAAAUCCGCUUUUGGAGGGGGUCGCGGCUGAUUAGCUAGUAGGUAAGGUAAUGGCUUACCAAGGCGAAGAUCGGUAUCCGGCCUGAGAGGGCGCACGGACACACUGGAACUGAAACACGGUCCAGACUCCUACGGGAGGCAGCAGUGGGGAAUUUUGCGCAAUGGGGGAAACCCUGACGCAGCAACGCCGCGUGGAGGAUGAAGCCCCUUGGGGUGUAAACUCCUUUCGACUGGGAARGAUUAUGACGGUACCAGUGGAAGAAGCACCGGCUAACUCUGUGCCAGCAGCCGCGGCAAUACAGAGGGUGCGAGCGUUGUUYCGGAAUUAUUGGGCGUAAAGGGCGCGUAGGCGGUACRGUAAGUCACCUGUGAAACCUUUGGGCUUAACUUAAGCCUUGCCGGCGAAACUUGCC
rnacentral:rRNA from 1 species